rnacentral:rRNA from 2 species
CAACUUGAGAGUUUGAUCCUGGCUCAGAGCGAACGCUGGCGGCAGGCUUAACACAUGCAAGUCGAACGGGCGUAGCAAUACGUCAGUGGCAGACGGGUGAGUAACGCGUGGGAACGUACCUUUUGGUUCGGAACAA